GGAAAAGGUAGAAUCCAUGCGAGUAUCAAAAAAUUGUCCUGACGAGUACCAGAAAAGGGUCGAAUCAGUGUGAGUAACGAAAAAUAGUAGAAUCCGGGAGAGUACCGGGAAAAGGUAGAAUCCAUGCGAGUAUUUAAAAAUUGUCCUGACGAGUACCGGAAAAGGGUCGAAUCAGUGUGAGUACCGAAAAAUAGUAGAAUUCGGGAGAGUACCGGGAAAAGGUAGAAUCCGUGCGAGUAUCGAAAACCAAUCCCGGCUAUUACAAAAAAAUAGUCGAAUCAAUGUGAGUACCGAAAAAUGAUAGAAUCCGGGCGAGUACCGGGAAAAGGUAGAAUCCAUGCGAGUAUUUAAAAAUUGUCUUGACGAGUACCGGAGAAGGGUCGAAUCAGUGUGAGUACCGAAAAAUAGUAGAAUCCGGGAGAGUACCGGGAAAAGGUAGAAUCCGUGCGAGUAUCGAAAAACUGUCCCGGCGAUUAGAAAAAAAUGGUCGAAUCAAUGUAAGUACCGAAAAAUGAUAGAAUCCGGGCGAGUACCGGGAAAAGGUAGAAUCCAUGCGAGUAUCGAAAAAUUGUCCUGACGAGUACCGGAAAAGGGUCGAAUCAGUGUGAGUACCGAAAAAUAGUAGAAUUCGGGAGAGUACCGGGAAAAGGUAGAAUCCGUGCGAGUAUCGAAAACCAGUCCCGGCUAUUACAAAAAAAUAGUCGAAUCAAUGUGAGUACCGAAAAAUGAUAGAAUCCGGGCGAGUACCGGGAAAAGGUAGAAUCCAUGCGAGUAUUUAAAAAUUGUCUUGACGAGUACCGGAGAAGGGUCGAAUCAGUGUGAGUACCAAAAAAUAGUACAAUCCGGAAGAGUACCGGGAAAAGGAAGAAUCCGUGCGAGUAUUGAAAAACUUUCCCGGCGAUUACAAAAAAAUGGUCGAAUCAAUGUGAGUACCGAAAAAUGAUAGAAUCCAGGCGAGUACCGGGAAAAGGUGGAAUCCAUGCGAGUAUCGAAAAAUUGUCCUGACGAGUACCGGAAAAGGGUCAAUCUGUGUGAGUACCGAAAAAUAGUAGAAUCCGAGUGAGUACUGGGAAAAGUUAGAAUCCGUGCGAGUAUCAAAAAUCAGUCCCGGCUAUUACAAAAAAAUGGUCGAAUCAAUGUGAGUACUGAAAAAUGAUAGAAUCCGGGCGAGUACCGGGAAAACGUAGAAUCCAUGCGAGUAUUGAAAAAUUGUCCUGUUGAGUACCGGAAAAGGCUCGAAUCAGUGUGAGUACCGAAAAAUAGUAGAAUCCGGGAGACUACCGGGAAAAGGUAGAAUCCAUGCGAGUAUUUAAAAAUUGUCCUGACGAGUACCGGAAAAGGGUCGAAUCAGUGUGAGUACCGAAAAAUAGUAGAAUUCGGGAGAGUACCGGGAAAAGGUAGAAUCCGUGCGAGUAUCGAAAACCAAUCCCGGCUAUUACAAAAAAAUAGUCGAAUCAAUGUGAGUACCGAAAAAUGAUAGAAUCCGGGCGAGUACCGGGAAAAGGUAGAAUCCAUGCGAGUAUUUAAAAAUUGUCUUGACGAGUACCGGAGAAGGGUCGAAUGAGUGUGAGUACCGAAAAAUAGAAGAAUCCGGGAGAGUACCGGGAAAAGGUAGAAUCCGUGCGAGUAUCGAAAAACUGUCCCGGAGAUUAGAAAAAAAUGGUCGAAUCAAUGUAAGUACCGAAAAAUGAUAGAAUCCGGGUGAGUACCGGGAAAAGGUAGAAUCCAUGCGAGUAUCGAAAAAUUGUCCUGACGAGUACCGGAAAAGGGUCGAAUCAGUGUGAGUACCGAAAAAUAGUAGAAUUCGGGAGAGUACCGGGAAAAGGUAGAAUCCGUGCGAGU
rnacentral:lncRNA from 1 species